rnacentral:misc_RNA from 1 species
GAUGAAGAACGCAGCGAAAUGCGAUACGUAAUGUGAAUUGCAGAAUUCAGUGAAUCAUCGAAUCUUUGAACGCAUCUUGCGCUCCUUGGUAUUCUGAGGAGCAUGCCUGUUUGAGUGUCAUUAAAUUCUCAACUACACUGACUUUGAAUUGGUGUGGCUUGGAUUUGGGGGGAAAAUUGUUGUGGGCUUUUUGUAUAGUCUGCUCCCCUGAAAUUGAUUAGCGGUACCUUUGUGGAACUGUCUACAGGUGUGAUAAUUAUCUACAUCUUAGACAUCUGCUGGAAUGCUGCUUUCUAAACCUUACUUGUAUUGACAAUCUUGACCUCAAAUCAGGUAGGACUACCCGCUGAACUUAAGCAUAUCAAUAAGCGGAGGA